AGAGUUUGAUCAUGGCUCAGGACGAACGCUGACGGUGUGCUUUAGACAUGCAAGUCGAACGCGAAAGCCCUUCGGGGUGAGUAGAGUGGCGAACGGGUGAGUAACACGUGGGUAACCUACCCCUCGCAGGGGGAUAACCGGGGGAAACCCCGGCUAAUACCCCGUACGCUUGCUGGGUCGCAUGGCCCGGCAAGGAAACGGUAGCUUCGGCCAUCCGGCGAGGGAUGGGCCCGCGGUGCAUUAGCUAGUUGGUGGGGUAACGGCCUACCAAGGCGACGAUGCAUAGCUGGUCUGAGAGGACGAUCAGCCACACUGGGACUGAGACACGGCCCAGACUCCUACGGGAGGCAGCAGUCGGGAAUCUUGCGCAAUGGGCGAAAGCCUGACGCAGCAACACCGUGUGAGCGACGAAGGCCUUCGGGUCGUAAAGCUCUGUUGUUGGGGACGAAGGGUUAGGGGUUAAUAGCCCCGAGCCUGACGGUACCCUUCGAGGAAGCCCCGGCUAACUACGUGCCAGCAGCCGCGGUAAUACGUAGGGGGCGAGCGUUGUCCGGAAUUAUUGGGCGUAAAGAGCGUGUAGGCGGCCCGGUAAGUCCGCCGUGAAAGCUUGGGGCUCAACCCCAAGUUUGCGGUGGAUACUGUCGGGCUAGAGGGUGGUAGAGGCGAGUGGAAUUCCCGGUGUAGCGGUGAAAUGCGCAGAUAUCGGGAGGAACACCAGUAGCGAAGGCGGCUCGCUGGGCCAUACCUGACGCUGAGACGCGAAAGCGUGGGGAGCGAACAGGAUUAGAUACCCCAGUAGUCC
rnacentral:rRNA from 1 species